AGCGGCGGACGGGUGAGUAACACGUGGGUAACCUGCCCAAGAGACUGGGAUAACACCUGGAAACAGAUGCUAAUACCGGAUAACAACACUAGACGCAUGUCUAGAGCUUGAAAGAUGGUUCUGCUAUCACUCUUGGAUGGACCUGCGGUGCAUUAGCUAGUUGGUAAGGUAACGGCUUACCAAGGCAAUGAUGCAUAGCCGAGUUGAGAGACUGAUCGGCCACAUUGGGACUGAGACACGGCCCAAACUCCUACGGGAGGCAGCAGUAGGGAAUCUUCCACAAUGGACGAAAGUCUGAUGGAGCAACGCCGCGUGAGUGAAGAAGGGUUUCGGCUCGUAAAGCUCUGUUGGUAGUGAAGAAAGAUAGAGGUAGUAACUGGCCUUUAUUUGACGGUAAUUACUUAGAAAGUCACGGCUAACUACGUGCCAGCAGCCGCGGUAAUACGUAGGUGGCAAGCGUUGUCCGGAUUUAUUGGGCGUAAAGCGAGUGCAGGCGGUUCAAUAAGUCUGAUGUGAAGGCCUUCGGCUCAACCGGAGAAUUGCAUCAGAAACUGUUGAACUUGAGUGCAGAAGAGGAGAGUGGAACUCCAUGUGUAGCGGUGGAAUGCGUAGAUAUAUGGAAGAACACCAGUGGCGAAGGCGGCUCUCUGGUCUGCAACUGACGCUGAGGCUCGAAAGCAUGGGUAGCGAACAGGAUUAGAUACCCUGGUAGUCCAUGCCGUAAACGAUGAGUGCUAAGUGU
rnacentral:rRNA from 1 species